rnacentral:rRNA from 1 species
AGAUUGAACGCUGGCGGCAGGCCUAACACAUGCAAGUCGAGCGGUAGAGAGGUGCUUGCACCUCUUGAGAGCGGCGGACGGGUGAGUAAUGCCUAGGAAUCUGCCUAGUGGUGGGGGAUAACGUUCGGAAACGGACGCUAAUACCGCAUACGUCCUACGGGAGAAAGCGGGGGACCUUCGGGCCUCGCGCCAUUAGACGAGCCUAGGUCGGAUUAGCUAGUUGGUGAGGUAAUGGCUCACCAAGGCGACGAUCCGUAACUGGUCUGAGAGGAUGAUCAGUCACACUGGAACUGAGACACGGUCCAGGACUCCGUACGGGAGG